rnacentral:ncRNA from 15 species
UGUAAUAUUCAAAGUAAUGAAGAAUGGCAUUUAUUUGGAUACUUGGGCUGUUUGGAGCUAGUAUUAUAACCGGCCAUUCCAAUU